AAUCAGGCAGCCGCGGGGCUGGAGGGAGCUCGUCCUGGUACCGCCUCUAUCUUUGGGAGAAAGAGGGAGAGAGAGGGAGAGGAGAGGAGAGGGCAGGAGAGGAGAGGACAGGAGAGGAGAAGCCGGGCGGGGAGACUGGGCCAAGGGCCGGGACACAUGGAUUAGCCAGGCGCCCUCUCGGGCCGGUGUCCGCCAGCCGCACCAUGGGCAAACUUCACUCCAAACACGCUGCCGUGUGUAAGCGCAGGGAGAGCCCCGAAGGUGACAGCUUCGCAGUGA
rnacentral:lncRNA from 1 species